rnacentral:rRNA from 1 species
GCUAAACGCGAAGAACCUUACCUGGCCUUGACAUGUCCGGAAUUCUGCAGAGAUGCGGAAGUGCCGUUCGGGAAUCGGAACACAGGUGCUGCAUGGCUGUCGUCAGCUCGUGUCGUGAGAUGUUGGGUUAACGUCCCGCAACGAGCGCCAACCCUUCGUCCUUAGUUCGCCAGCGAGUAAUGUCGGGAACUCUAAGGAGACUGCCGGUGACAACCGGAGGAAGGUGGGGAUGACGUCAAGUCCUCAUGGCCCUUACGGCCAGGGCUACACACGUACUACAAUGGUCGGUACAGAGGGUUGCCAAACCGCAAGGUGGAGCCAAUCCCAGAAAGCCGAUCCCAGUCCGGAUCGGAGUCUGCAACUCGACUCCGUGAAGUCGGAAUCGCUAGUAAUCGCGGAUCAGCUAUGCCGCGGUGAAUACGUUCCCGGGUCUUGUACACACCG